rnacentral:rRNA from 1 species
CGAAAGGGGUAGCUGAUGGAAAGCUGGUUAAUAUUCCAGCACCAGCAUUAGUUUCGAUGGGGCGACGCAGUAUUGAAAGUUCCUCGCACUUACGGAAUAGUGCGAUUAACCACGUAACUAUUUUCUUUGCAGGCAAAUCCGCAGAGAAAGGUGAAAUGGGAAAGUACACUGAGGCUUCGGCCAAGGUGAGUGAACCUAAAAAGCUGCCGAGAAAAAACCUCUAAGGUUAGGCUAAUGCUGCCAGUACCGCAAACCGCACAGGUAACGGGAUGAGUAUUCUAAGGCGCUCGGGUGAGCCGUGGAGAAGGAACUAGGCAAAUUGACGCUGUAACUUCGGGAUAAAGCGUACCGCAGCGAUGCGGUCUCAGUAAAAUGGUUCAACCAACUGUUUAACAAAAACACAGGGCCCUGCAAAAUCGAAAGAUGACGUAUAGAGCCUGAUACCUGCCCGGUGCUGGAAGGUUAAGGAAGGUGUUCGGAGCAAUCCAAAGCUUCUGACUGAAGCCCCAGUAAACGGCGGCCGUAACAAUAACGGUCCUAAGGUAGCGAAAUUCCUUGUCGGGUAAGUUCCGACCUGCACGAAUGGUCUAAUGAGUUGACACUGUCUCCUCCACGAGCCCGGUGAAAUUGUAGUAUCGGUGAAGAUGCCGGUUACCCGCCACGGGACGGAAAGACCCCGUGAACCUUCACUACAACUUUGCAUUGAUUUUGAAUACAGAUGUGUAGCAUAGUUGGGAGACUUGAAGCAGUUGGCGCCAGAGUUGUGGAGUCACCGUUGAAAUACCAACCUUCUGUUGACUUUAGAGUCUAACCCUAGGGGACAUUGCAUGGUGGGUAGUUUGACUGGGGUGGUCGCCUCCUAAAGAGUAACGGAGGCUCGCAAAGGUACCCUCAGUACGGUUGGUAAUCGUACGAGAGCGCAUUAGUAAAAGGGUGCUUGACUGUGAGGCUGACCAGCCGAGCAGGUGCGAAAGCAGGCUAAAGUGAUCCGGUGGUUCUGCAUGGAAGGGCCAUCGCUCAAAGGAUAAAAGGUACUCCGGGGAUAACAGGCUGAUCUCCCCCAAGAGCUCAUAUCGACGGGGAGGUUUGGCACCUCGAUGUCGGUUCGUCACAUCCUGGGGCUGGAGAAGGUCCCAAGGGUUCGGCUGUUCGCCGAUUAAAGUGGCACGUGAACUGGGUUCAGAACGUCGCAAGACAGUUCGGUCCCUAUCUGUGGUGGGCGCAAGUAAAUUGAGUGGACAUGACCUUAGUACGAGAGGACCGGGUCGUACGUACCGCUGGUGUAUCUGUUGUGGUGCCAACUGCAAUGCAGAGUAGCUAUGUACGGACAGGAUAAACGCUGAAAGCAUCUAAGCGUGAAACCUUCCACAAGAUGAGUUUACUUUUAAGGGUCGUCAGAGACGAUGACGUUGAUAGGCUACAGGUGUACAUGUGGUAACAUAAAGCCGAGUAGUACUAA